GUGCCGCAAUGGUGAUAGCACGAAGAAGUUCUUUUGCAUGUUGCAAACAUUGUGACUUAAGAAGCUGUGCUAUUGACCUAACAAAGAAAUCCGUAACACGAGGUCUUUUGUUUUUCAGGCAGUCCCAUCGGCAGAUCAUCUUAAUGCAGUGUGCUACAUCUACCCUGACAAAACAUGGGGUAGAUGUCCAGGUUGAUUCCCACGUGAAAUGUUAAAGCACUCAUUGAUGUAGCUCUUCAGAUCAGGAUGAGGGGAACAGAUGCACCUGCAUGGAUCCAUUCCUUCAGCCACUGUGUGAUAGCAUCAUGCUUCUCUGACAGCAUCUGCACGACUGGGACACUGGAGCUGGUAUGCCCUGUCAUAACGCCCUGAUACAGGAAGAUAUGGCCAGACAUGCCAUUCGGCCUCAUCAGUUUUUUAACUAUUGAGCCAGUUGCAUCAACACAUAAUAUUGGGUGGGAUUUCUUUAAGCUCUUGUACACGUGCAUUUGUGUUUGACUCCAAUAGUGACAGAAGAACUUGUCAAGUCCAAUGUCUUUGAUGCUGUCACUGUGAGGUGCACUGUAUUUUUCAACAUCUACAAUGAUAAAAUUGGAUUUUUGUCACCUAA